AGGGGUAACAGGAAUUGCUUGCAAUUUGCUGACGACCGGCGCACGGGUGCGUAACGCGUAUAGAACCUACCUUUUACAGAGGGAUAGCCUUUAGAAAUGAAGAUUAAUACCUCAUGGUUCCUAAUCAUUGCAUGAUGAUCAGGAUAAAGAUUUAUCGGUAGAAGAUGGCUAUGCGUCCUAUUAGCUAGUAGGUAUGGUAACGGCAUACCUAGGCGACGAUAGGUAGGGGCCCUGAGAGGGGGAUCCCCCACACUGGUACUGAGACACGGACCAGACUCCUACGGGAGGCAGCAGUGAGGAAUAUUGGGCAAUGGAGGCAACUCUGACCCAGCCAUGCCGCGUGCAGGAAGACUGCCCUAUGGGUUGUAAACUGCUUUUAUACAGGAAGAAACACUCCCUCGUGAGGGAGCUUGACGGUACUGUAAGAAUAAGGAUCGGCUAACUCCGUGCCAGCAGCCGCGGUAAUACGGAGGAUCCAAGCGUUAUCCGGAAUCAUUGGGUUUAAAGGGUCCGUAGGUGGAUUAAUAAGUCAGAGGUGAAAUCCUGCAGCUCAACUGUAGAACUGCCUUUGAUACUGUUAAUCUUGAG
rnacentral:rRNA from 1 species